GCCGCUGCUUUAACACCAUCCUAUCUGGGUGGGAACAGAAGCCUGAGGGCAACCUACACGCAGAGGUGGGGCCAAAUCCAAAGCUGAACCCCAGGAGCUGUGCGAACAAAGAAGAGAAAGGGAAAUCUCUCCCAGCAGCCCCAGGAGCAGCAGAUUAAAUCCCCACAAUGAACUUGAUGUGCCCUGCAUCUGUGGAACACCUCAAUAAACAACAAAUCGUCGAAAAAUUCUGGUGGUGGACUUCAGGAGCAACUGUAGACUUGGGGAUUGCUACCUGCGACUGAUUUGUUUCUGAUUUUUAUGUUUAUCUUAGUUUAGUGUUUAGCACUUCUUAUCAUUGGUGGAUGUGUUUAUUGGUUUGGUUGCUCGAUUCUUUUCUCUUUUUUUUUUACUAUUAUUUUUUCAUAACUUUUUUCUUUUUUUAAUUUAUUUUUCCUUUUCCUUUAUUAAUAUUUUUUUCUUUAUUCUUUUCUCCCUCUUCUUCUGAGUAGUGGGACUGACGGGAUCUUGGUGCAACAGCCUGGUGUCAGGCCUGAGAUGCUGACGUGGGAGAGCCGAGCUCAGGAGUAGGACCACCAGACUUCUCCAGAGACUUCUCUCAAUGCCACAUAAUAUCAAUUGGCGAGAGCUCUCCCAGAGAUCUCCAUCUCAACCUUAAGACCCAGCUCCAGUCAACAGCCAGCAAACUCCAGUACUACUAAGGG